rnacentral:rRNA from 1 species
UACGUAGGGUGCAAGCGUUAAUCGGAAUUACUGGGCGUAAAGCGUGCGCAGGCGGUUUUGUAAGCCAGAUGUGAAAUCCCCGGGCUUAACCUGGGAAUGGCAUUUGGGACUGCAAGGCUUGAGUUUGGCAGAGGAGACUGGAAUUCCUGGUGUAGCAGUGAAAUGCGUAGAUAUCAGGAGGAAUACCGAUGGCGAAGGCAGGGUCUCUGGGCUAGAACUGACGCUCAUGCACGAAAGCGUGGGGAGCAACAGG